rnacentral:rRNA from 1 species
GACGAACGCUGGCUGCGUGCUUCACACAUGCAAGUCGAACGAAGUGGCGAACGGGUGAGUAACGCGUAAUCAACCUGCCCUUCAGAGGGGGACAACAGUUGGAAACGACUGCUAAUACCGCAUACUUAAGGAGGGGAGUGCGUCUGAUUAGCUAGUUGGAGGGGUAACGGCCCACCAAGGCGAUGAUCAGUAGCCGGUCUGAGAGGAUGAGCGGCCAAAUUGGGACUGAGACACGGCCCAUACUCCUACGGGAGGCAGCAGUGGGGAAUCUUCCGCAAUGGACGAAAGUCUGACGGAGCAACGCCGCGUGAGUGAUGACGUCCUUCGUGUUGUAAAGCUCUGUUAAUCGGGACGCGGUACCGGAAUAGAAAGCCACGGCUAACUACGUGCCAGCAGCCGCGGUAAUUC